rnacentral:rRNA from 1 species
CCUACGGGAGGCAGCAGUGAGGAAUAUUGGUCAAUGGACGCAAGUCUGAACCAGCCAUGCCGCGUGCAGGAAGACGGCUCUAUGAGUUGUAAACUGCUUUUGUACGAGGGUAAACGCAGAUACGCGUAUCUGUCUGAAAGUAUCGUACGAAUAAGGAACGGCUAACGCCGUGCCAGCAGCCGCGGUAAUACGGAGGAUUCAAGCGUUAUCCGGAUUUAUUGGGUUUAAAGGGUGCGUAGGCGGUAGGAUAAGUUAGAGGUGAAAUCCCGAGGCUCAACUUCGGAAUUGCCUUUGAUACUGUUCGGCUAGAGAGUAGUUGAGGUAGGCGGAAUGUAUGGUGUAGCGGUGAAAUGCGUAGAGAUCAUACAGAACAUCGAUUGCGAAGGCAGCUUACCAAGCUACUUCUGACGUUGAGGCACGAAAGCGUGGGUAGCAAACAGGAUUAGAUACCCCAGUAGUC